AUACGAAAAGGGAAAGUAAAACACGAAAAGUACCGCGUAAACAAGCUCGGGUUCCACUGUCCAAAUUGACCGUUGGUUUUAUCCAGAUUACCCGGAUGAAUACCAAUCAGAAACAACAAACGACACUAACGACAGUUUACACUUUGACUAAAACUACACUGGACGAGAAACAAUCCUUCUUAAUUCCCUGAAGAAGACCCCAUAGAGGGUUGAAACGUUGGAUACGAGAAAAUAAGCGUUGUUUCGAAUUUUCCCGCCAAGACCGAAAAGCCGAAAACCUAACCUAUAAUUUGUGAUCCGGUCGAUAGGAAGCACUCA
rnacentral:lncRNA from 1 species